AUUGAACGCUGGCGGCAGGCCUAACACAUGCAAGUCGAACGAGUGGCGGACGGGUGAGUAAUGUCUGGGAAACUGCCUGAUGGAGGGGGAUAACUACUGGAAACGGUAGCUAAUACCGCAUACCAUCGGAUGUGCCCAGAUGGGAUUAGCUAGUAGGGGGGGUAACGGCUCACCUAGGCGACGUUCCCUAGCUGGUCUGAGAGGAUGACCAGCCACCCUGGAACGGAGACACGGUCCAGACUCCUACGGGGGGCAGCAGUGGGGAAUAUUGCACAAUGUGCGAAAGCCUGAUGCAGCCAUACCGCGUGUAUGAAGAAGGCCUUCGGGUUGUAAAGUACUUUCAGCGGGGAGGCGUUACCCGCAGAGGAAGCACCGGCUAACUCCGUGCCAGCAGCCGCGGUAAUUC
rnacentral:rRNA from 1 species